rnacentral:rRNA from 1 species
AGCAGCCGCGGUAAUUCCAGCUCCAAUAGCGUAUAUUAAAGUUGUUGCAGUUAAAAGCUCGUAGUUGAAUUUCGGGAUCAAUACGUCGGUCGUGCUUCGGUACGUACUGGCGUAAUUGAUUUCUCCCUUCUGACGAACCAUGAUGUCAUUAACUUGGUGUCAUGGGAAAUCAGGACUGUUACUUUGAAAAAUUAGAGUGUUUAAAGCAAGCUAACGCUUGAAUACAUUAGCAUGGAAUAAUGAAAUAGGACGUUCGAUCCUAUUUUGUUGGUUUCUAGGAUUGACGUAAUGAUUAAUAGGGAUAGUUGGGG